UUAGUGGCGGACGGGUGAGUAACGCGUGGAAAACCUGCCGUAUACUGGGGGAUAACACUUAGAAAUAGGUGCUAAUACCGCAUAAGCGCACAGCUUCGCAUGAAGCGGUGUGAAAAACUCUGGUGGUAUACGAUGGUUCCGCGUCUGAUUAGCUAGUUGGUGGGGUAAUGGCCUACCAAGGCAACGAUCAGUAGCCGGCCUGAGAGGGUGAACGGCCACAUUGGGACUGAGACACGGUCCAAACUCCUACGGAAGGCAGCAG
rnacentral:rRNA from 1 species